AUGUGGAAAUCUUUAAAAAAAAGUGUAUAUUUAAAGGGUGUUGCUACACGUUGGUCGGCGGAUCUUUUAAAAGAUCUGCCGCUUCACGAGCUAUCGGAUCUGAUGGACCGAGCAACCGAGCGUGACCUUUUAAUAUUGCAACACAGGUUGUGUUGCAUGAAAUUUCUGCAACACGGGUCAUGUUGCAGAAAUAUUUGCAAGAUAUUUCUUUUGCAACAGAGAUCUUAUUGUAGUUUUUUUUGCAACAGGGUCUUGUUGCAAUUUAGUUUUUUCUUGCAACAGAGGUCUCAUUGCAAAUUUAGUUUUUCUGCAACAGAGGUCUUGUUGCAAUUUUUGGAACAGAGACCUUGUUGCAAAAACGCAUCAUAG
rnacentral:rRNA from 1 species